GAUGCUAGAGCAAAGAGAAAUAUUGCUCUAAAGACUACUCAAGGUGAAGAUGAUCCAACUCACUUGGAUGAUGAAGACUCGGAUGGUGAUGAUAAUGACCUUGCUCUCAUCACAAGAGGCUUCAAGAGAAUCUUGAAUAAAAGGAAGUUUAGAAAGGGAGGACCUAGCAAUCAAUUUCAAAAUUAUUCAUCAAAUGCAAGGAACAAAGGAAAACAAGAAUUCAACAAGAAGCAAGUGGACAAAUGCUAUGAAUGUGGACAACCUGGACACUAUGCAAACGAAUGCCCCAUGAAGAAAAUGAAAGAUGGGAAAGCUGAUCGAAACCAAGAUUCAACAACUUCAGAUUACUUGGAAUGAAUGUAACUCCGAAGGGGAAGUUGAAGAAAGAAGAAUCAGCUCAAAUGGCCUUCAUGGCUAUUGGAAAUAAUGAGGUAACUUCCACACACUCUCAAUCUGAAAGUGAUGAUGAUGAAGAUGAUGAUCUUGAAUCCUUUGUUGAAAAACUGCAUAAUGCCUUGAAGGAAUCUUAUGAUAAAAACAAGCAGUUAAAACAGAAAAUGGCUUUUCUCAUUCAAGAAAAUACAAGUCUUUUUCAACAAAAUAAACAACUAAAGACUGACAAUGAAAGUCUUGUAAGAGCCGGAUGUGAUGUUCAAAAU
rnacentral:lncRNA from 1 species